GACGAACGCUGGCGGCGUGCCUAAUACAUGCAAGUCGAGCGAAGCGGCGGCUGGGUGAGUAAUGCGUGGUUAACCUGCCCUUAAGUCUGGGAACCCAUUUGGAAACAGAUGCUAAUACCGGAUACUAAAGGAUGGACCUGCGAUGCAUUAGCUAGUUGGGAAGGUAACGGCUUACCAAGGCGAUGAUGCAUAGCCGUGUUGAGAGACUGAUCGGCCACACGGGAUCUUGGACACGGCCCAGACUCCUACGGGAGGCAGCAGUGGGGAAUAUUCGAAAAUGGGCGCAAGCCUGAUGAAGCAAUGCCGCGUGGAUGAAGAAGGCCUUCGGGUUGUAAAGUACUUUCAGCGAGGAGGCGUUACUCGCAGAAGAAGCCCCGGCUAACUCCGUGCCAGCAGCCGCGGUAAUUC
rnacentral:rRNA from 1 species